AUUGAACGCUGGCGGCAGGCCUAACACAUGCAAGUCGAGCGGAGCGGCGGACGGGUGCGUAAUGCCUAUGAAUCUGCCUGGUAGUGGGGGAUAACGUCCGGAAACGGGCGCUAAUACCACAUACUAUCAGAUGAGCCUAGGUCGGAUUAGCUAGUUGUUGGGGUAAAGGCCUACCAAGGCGACGAUGCGUAACUGGUCUGAGAGGAUGAUCAGGCACACUGGAAAUGAGACACGGUCCAGACUCCGACGGGAGGCAGCAGUGGGGAAGAUUGCACAAGGGGCGAAAGCCUGAGCCAGCCAUGCCGCGUGUGUGAAGAAGGUCUUCGGAUUGUAAAGAACUUUAAGUUGGGAGGCGUUACCAACAGAAUAAGCACCGGCUAACUUCGUGCCAGCAGCCGCGGGAAGAC
rnacentral:rRNA from 1 species